AUAAAUGAGUGUCUAAUAGUGUUUUAAAUGUGUGCAUUCUUUAUUCUAGCAUUUUGGUGCAUUUUCUUUAAAAAUUAAAAAUUCUGUCUAAAAACCACAGUAAUGCGCCACCUUCAGCUGAAAACAUAGAAUUUGAGACAUUUUGAAUAAAUUUUAGCCAAUGGCUAAAGAGUAAAAUACUACGUAAACCAGUAGAGUACUACGUAGCAGCUCCGUGCCAAAGUUAUAAAAGCAACGAGCGUCUCGGCCACGCCCUGUGGCGAGUGGGAGUUGGAUUUGCAAGCGAGCGUAGGAGGUCAGCGGUAGUUCAGCAUUAGCAUAUAGCAUUAGCAUAUCCUAGUCUUUAGCAUAUCUUUUAGUGUUAUAAAUACUUAUUUAGUGUUAGUUUGGCUGUUGGAUAUUGUAGUUUAGUUAGUGUUUGGCUGUUAGUUUAAUUGGGAAAGUAGUUCGGGUUUAGUGUUCCAGAUCGUCUUAGUAUUGGUGAGUAGGUGUAGUGUAGUAUGCUUGCGGUGACUCUGUGGGCAUUUUACCCGCGAUUCUGCACGUCUCCGUUUGAAGAGGGAGGCUGCCCACCGUGGCUCUUCCGCGAUUUAGAUGCAGCCCACCGACUCUGCUCCCCCACCACGGUGGGCUCCAGUCUGAGGCUAAAUCUACCCAAGACACUGGCUGUCAGACUGAUUUAGCUGCAAGAAUGCACUUGUCCAGGCUGACGUGAAACCUUCCCUGUAGCAAAGCCAGCCAGAAUGGAGUUCACAGCCGCAGUGUGUCUGGUGACCCACGGGGACCAUGAUGAAAAUUCAUCUUCCAGAAGGUCCCAGAGCAGCGGCCACACCCCCUGAAAAGACCAAGAUGUAAGGUGUCUGCUGUUGAUUCCAGCUUCCACCUCAGUGACAGUGCAAGCUCAGUGAACUGUUCAAGGACACUCAGCAAAAUAUGGACUCUACACCAUGAGGCAGGCACACGUUAAUAUUCUAUAAGAGCACAUAAGGUGAGCAACACCACAUAUUGUACACUGUCCUGAAUUUGUUUUCUUUCUGCAUCUCAUUAGCCUGGCUGAUCACCUGAUAACUCCUGUCAUCUGGUUAUGACAGCAUGAGGAUGUCCUCACACCUGUAACCUAUCAGCUCAUCUGGCAGAAUAGAGAGAGAAGAGACAACACCACAUCUCCUGUUCCUGGAAAGCCUUCAGCCAUCCUUCGAUGACUGAGAACCUCCAUCAGCUCUGUCUCCUGUCUGCCUACAAUUAUUAUAAUAAAUAUUGUGUUUGACAAGUUUAAA